rnacentral:rRNA from 1 species
AGUUUGAUCCUGGCUCAGAUUGAACGCUGGCGGAAUGCUUUACGCAUGCAAGUCGAGCGGCAGCGCGGGGCAACCUGGCGGCGAGCGGCGAACGGGUGAGUAAUGCAUCGGAACGUGUCCAUACGUGGGGGAUAGCCCGGCGAAAGCCGGAUUAAUACCGCAUACGCCCUUUGGGGGAAAGCGGGGGACUUCGCAAGAGGCCUCGCGCGAUUGGGUCGGCCGAUGUCCGAUUAGCUAGUUGGUGGGGUAAAGGCUCACCAAGGCGAUGAUCGGUAGCUGGUCUGAGAGUGAUGAUCAGUCCACACUGGGACUGAGACUCUGCCCAGUACUCCUACGGGAGGCAGCAGUGGGGAAUUUUGGACAAUGGGGGCAACCCUGAUCCAGCCAUAUCCGCGUGAGUGAGAAGGCCUUCGGGUCGUAAAGCUCUUUUGUCCGGAGCGAAACGGGUUACGUGAAUAUCGUGGCCUACUGACUGUACCGGAAUACUAAGCACCGGCUAACUACGUGCCAGCAGCCGCAGUAAUACGUACCGGUGCGAGCGUAAAUCGGGAAUUACGUGGGACGUUAAAUGCGUUGCAGCGACGCCGGGUGUUUGUUAAUGCCCACGAAAUGUUUGACCACGCCCACCCGGGGGCCUUUAAUGCCCUGGGGGAUAUUGGCCAUUGCCUGGGGAACCUGCNGAGGGACUUCCCAACCUGCCGUCAUGGAGGGACAGACUUGCGAAUUUCCCUUGGGUUGUUACCACGUUUGAACAUGCCUUACCAAUUCUCCNGUAAGGCAACCCCCCCAUGGGCCUAUAGG